UACGAAGGGGGCUAGCGUUGCUCGGAAUUACUGGGCGUAAAGCGCACGUAGGCGGCUUCUUAAGUCGGUGGUGAAAUCCUGGAGCUCAACUCCAGAACUGCCUUCGAUACUGGGAAGCUCGAGUCCGGGAGAGGUGAGUGGAACUGCGAGUGUAGAGGUGAAAUUCGUAGAUAUUCGCAAGAACACCAGUGGCGAAGGCGGCUCACUGGCCCGGUACUGACGCUGAGGCGCGAAAGCCAGGGGAGCAAACGGG
rnacentral:rRNA from 1 species